rnacentral:rRNA from 1 species
GUGUCAGCCGCCGCGGUAAUACGGAGGGUGCAAGCGUUAUCCGGAUUCACUGGGUUUAAAGGGUGCGUAGGAGGGUAGGUAAGUCAGUGGUGAAAUCUCCGGGCUCAACUCGGAAACUGCCGUUGAUACUAUCUGUCUUGAAUACCGUGGAGGUGAGCGGAAUAUGUCAUGUAGCGGUGAAAUGCUUAGAUAUGACAUAGAACACCGAUUGCGAAGGCAGCUCACUACACGAAUAUUGACUCUGAGGCACGAAAGCGUGGGGAUCAAACAGGAUUAGAUACCCCCGUAGUCC